rnacentral:rRNA from 1 species
UACGUAGGGUGCGAGCGUUGUCCGGAAUUAUUGGGCGUAAAGAGCUCGUAGGCGGUGUGUCACGUCGGCCGUGAAAACCUGCAGCUUAACUGUGGGCGUGCGGUCGAUACGGGCAUCACUGGAGUUCGGCAGGGGAGACUGGAAUUCCUGGUGUAGCGGUGAAAUGCGCAGAUAUCAGGAGGAACACCGGUGGCGAAGGCGGGUCUCUGGGCCGAUACUGACGCUGAGGAGCGAAAGCGUGGGGAGCAAACGGG